rnacentral:tRNA from 1 species
GACGUUGGCGCAAUGGAUAACGCUUCGGUCUACGGAACCGAAGGUUGCAGGUUCGAGUCCUGCCGUGGUCG